rnacentral:rRNA from 1 species
CUACGGGUCGCACCAGUGGGGAAUAUUGCACAAUGGGCGCAAGCCUGGUGCAGCCAUGCCGCGUGUAUGAAGAAGGCCUUCGGGUUGUAAAGUACUUUCAGCGGGGAGGAAGGGAGUAAAGUUAAUACCUUUGCUCAUUGACGUUACCCGCAGAAGAAGCACCGGCUAACUCCGUGCCAGCAGCCGCGGUAAUACGGAGGGUGCAAGCGUUAAUCGGAGUUACUGGGCGUAAAGCGCACGCAGGCGGUUUGUUAAGUCAGAUGUGAAAUCCCCGGGCUCAACCUGGGAACUGCAUCUGAUACUGGCAAGCUUGAGUCUCGUAGAGGGGGGUAGAAUUCCAGGUGUAGCGGUGAAAUGCGUAGAGAUCUGGAGGAAUACCGGUGGCGAAGGCGGCCCCCUGGACGAAGACUGACGCUCAGGUGCGAAAGCGUGGGGAGCAAACAGGAUUAGAUACCCUUGUAGUC